AAGUCGAGGGGCAGCAUUGGAGUAGCAAUACUCAGAUGGCGACCGGCGCACGGGUGAGUAACACGUAUCCAACCUGCCGCUUACUCGGGGAUAGCCUUUCGAAAGAAAGAUUAAUACCCGAUGGUAUAAAGAGUUCGCAUGUUCUCUUUAUUAAAGAAUUUCGGUAAGCGAUGGGGAUGCGUUCCAUUAGAUAGUUGGCGGGGUAACGGCCCACCAAGUCUACGAUGGAUAGGGGUUCUGAGAGGAAGGUCCCCCACAUUGGAACUGAGACACGGUCCAAACUCCUACGGGAGGCAGCAGUGAGGAAUAUUGGUCAAUGGACGAGAGUCUGAACCAGCCAAGUUAAGGCGUGAAGGAUGACUGCCCUAUGGGUUGUAAACUUCUUUUAUAAGGGAAUAAAGUGAGGGACGUGUCCCUUUUUGUAUGUACCUUAUGAAUAAGGAUCGGCUAACUCCGUGCCAGCAGCGGC
rnacentral:rRNA from 1 species